GUGAACGCUGGCGGUAGGUCUAACACAUGCAAGUCGAACGGCAGCACAGUAAGAGCUUGCUCUUACGGGUGGCGAGUGGCGGACGGGUGAGGAAUACAUCGGAAUCUACUUUUUCGUGGGGGAUAACGUAGGGAAACUUACGCUAAUACCGCAUACGACCUACGGGUGAAAGCAGGGGAUCUUCGGACCUUGCGCGAUUGAAUGAGCCGAUGUCGGAUUAGCUAGUUGGCGGGGUAAAGGCCCACCAAGGCGACGAUCCGUAGCUGGUCUGAGAGGAUGAUCAGCCACACUGGAACUGAGACACGGUCCAGACUCCUACGGGAGGCAGCAGUGGGGAAUAUUGGACAAUGGGCGCAAGCCUGAUCCAGCCAUACCGCGUGGGUGAAGAAGGCCUUCGGGUUGUAAAGCCCUUUUGUUGGGAAAGAAAAGCAGCAGGUUAAUACCCCGCUGUUCUGACGGUACCCAAAGAAUAAGCACCGGCUAACUUCGUG
rnacentral:rRNA from 1 species